rnacentral:rRNA from 1 species
GAUGAACGCUGGCGGCGUGCCUAAUACAUGCAAGUCGAGCGAACGGACGAGAAGCUUGCUUCUCUGAUGUCAGCGGCGGACGGGUGAGUAACACGUGGAUAACCUACCUAUAAGACUGGGAUAACUUCGGGAAACCGGAGCUAAUACCGGAUAAUAUUUUGAACCGCAUGGUUCAAAAGUGAAAGACGGUCUUGCUGUCACUUAUAGAUGGAUCCGCGCUGCAUUAGCUAGUUGGUAAGGUAACGGCUUACCAAGGCAACGAUGCAUAGCCGACCUGAGAGGGUGGUCGACCACACUGGAACUGAGACACGGUCCAGACUCCUACGGGAGGCAGCAGUAGGGAAUCUUCCGCAAUGGGCGAAAGCCUGACGGAGCAACGCCGCGUGAGUGAUGAAGGUCUUCGGUUCGUAAAACUCUGUUAUUAGGGAAGAACAUAUGUGUAAGUAACUGUGCACAUCUUGACGGUACCUAAUCAGAAAGCCACGGCUAACUACGUG